AGCCUGAUGCAGCCAUGCCGCGUGUGUGAAGAAGGCCUUCGGGUUGUAAAGCACUUUCAGCGGGGAGGAAGGCGGUGAGGUUAAUAACCUUGUCGAUUGACGUUACCCGCAGAAGAAGCACCGGCUAACUCCGUGCCAGCAGCCGCGGUAAUACGGAGGGUGCAAGCGUUAAUCGGAAUUACUGGGCGUAAAGCGCACGCAAGCGGUCUGUCAAGUCGGAUGUGAAAUCCCCGGGCUCAACCUGGGAACUGCAUUCUAAACUGGCAGGCUAGACUCUUGUAGAGGGGGGUAGAAUUCCAGGUGUAGCGGUGAAAUGCGUAGAGAUCUGGAGGAAUACCGGUGGCGAAGGCGGCCCCCUGGAUAAAGACUGACGCUCACGUGCGACAGCCUGGGGAGCAAACAGGAUUAGAAACCCGGGUAGUCC
rnacentral:rRNA from 1 species